UUCCCUCCAUUACUCAUCCACCAUUCUCUGACAUGUGUUUUUCUAGUAAGUCUUAAUCUAUAAUUUAUUUUCAACCUCUACAAAUUAAUUAAUUCUUUAGAAUUUUUGAAAUAGUUUUAUGUUUUCUAUUCAUUUCUUUAUAUUUUCCUUCUCUCUUAUAUUUUUAUGGCUUACACUGGGUUUUUAGCUUUUGUGUUUUAAUUUAGUCUUCAUUGAUGAAAUAUUUUCUAUAAUUUCAAAUUGCAAGUGGGUCUGUAUGAUAUUUUCUUCACAUCUUUUUUCUCAAUCUUUAUUAAAAAUGUCUAUUAUUUUCUAAUUAUGCUGUUUUGGAUUAUAGAUUUUUUAUUCUAUUAAUAUAUUUAGAUGUUCUUCAAAUAUUUUCCAACAUAUGUGCUCACUUUCGGUUUGGGUGUCACAUUUUUAUAAUCCUUGCAAAAUUUCAAAGUUUUUAUUAUUAUUAUAUUUGUUAUGGUGAUCUGUGAUCAGUGACCCUCGAUGUUGUCAUCAAACCCAGGUUCAGCUGCUCACCUGUCAAAAGCCAAACACAGGAGAGGAGCGAUGGCGGGAAGAAAGCAGGUUUAUCUGGAGAGCCAGUAAUCUGAGAAGAUGGUGGACUAGUAUCCUAAGGCCUCCCUAGUUCCUGAAACAGAAGAAUAUUGAAAU
rnacentral:lncRNA from 10 species